rnacentral:antisense_RNA from 1 species
CGGUGGGUGUGCUCCCAGGUCGCCUCGCCGUCGAGGAGCGAGCCGUCGCCGAAGUAGCCGCCGUCGGCGAGGACGUCGACGACCGCCUCGUCGCCGUACGGGCCGGAGCCGACCUUCUCCACCCGGCCGUGCGCCAGCAGGAAGACCCGGUCCGCCGGGCCGCCGGCCUCCACGAUGACGUCCCCGGGCGCGUACGCGCGCUGCGUGCAGCGCCGGGCCAGCUCGCCGAGCGCCGCCUCGUCGCCGUAUCCGCGCAGCGCGGGCAGCUCGCCCAGCUCGGCGGGGAUGACCUCGACGCGCUCCCCGGUCUGCACGAACGUCACGCGCCCGUCGCCCACGGCGUAGGCGUACCGGCGGUUCACCCGGUACGCGCCGCCCUGGACCUGCACCCACGGCAGCAUGCGCAGCAGCCACCGGGAGGUGAUCUCCUGCAUCUGGGGCGCCGACUUGGUGGUGGUCGCCAGGUUCCGCGCCGCGUCCGUGCCGAGGCUCUUCUGCGCGGGAGCC